rnacentral:lncRNA from 1 species
GUUGAGCCAGAAUCGGUUGGGUUCUUCCCAGGUAAGAUAGGGAUGCGACAAAGCUGAACCAGCAAGGGGAAUGAACGGAAAACCUUCCUAGUAACUGGUGAGCUUCCAGCCCUCUUCUCUUAUUUGCUCUCAGCAGCUGGAGGAUUCUUCACUCAUAAAACUUGCCAGAGGAUAAUGACCUCGGAGGUCCCUGAAUCACAAUAGCAGGCUUCUGUUCAGUGAAGCCCAAUCUUCAGAAUGCUCCAAAGCUUCAGGAUUCAGGACAAGUCUUUCCACACAGAGAGAGGAAUUCACAAAACCUAAACUGGAAAAUCAGUCUCAUUACAAGAGAAACCAGGAAGAACGAUGGGAAAGAAGAGGCCUUCUCCUUCCCAGGCCUGGAGAAAAUCCUGCCUUGACACCCCACGAUCUUUUUUUGCGGCAACUGCCUCCUUCUCUGUCCUGCCGAAGGCCACAGCAGCACGUUUGCAGCGGAAAUAAACUUGCGCACCUCAUAAAAAGAACCAGUAAUGAUGCUCCCAUUUCAUGGGAUAUUACACCAUAAUGAUGAUAAUCCGCCCAUUUACAUCUGAUCUUCCAUAGACUUAGUGAAAUUAGCUUCCGUGCCACCUAGCAGGGGUAAUUUAUGAGAUAAAAAGGAACCAUUGAGAGAUAAUGUAAUGAGUAUUUACUGUAUCCUUGAUGGUGCUCUCAUCGCUGGGGAGACGGGAAGUUGGCUGGUGAGUUUAGCCUCCCACAUUUUCAGAGCCUCGUGCUAAAACCUCGGGUUAGCCGAUCCAGACCAAGACAUCACCCCAAACGCUCCUCCUCAGAAAAGCUAUGCAAACUCAUGCGGUGUUUGUGCUCGGGGGCUGUGAAUUUCUUCUGCCAACCUGAGCUGAAAGGAGCUAGAAAACUCUGCGUAUUUUACUUUCAGAGUUAAUGGGAAUAAAAU